CCUACGGGAGGCAGCAGUGGGGAAUAUUGCACAAUGGGCGCAAGCCUGAUGCAGCCAUGCCGCGUGUGUGAAGAAGGCCUUCGGGUUGUAAAGCACUUUCAGCGGGGAGGAAGGCGUUAAGGUUAAUAACCUUGUCGAUUGACGUUACCCGCAGAAGAAGCACCGGCUAACUCCGUGCCAGCAGCCGCGGUAAUACGGAGGGUGCAAGCGUUAAUCGGAAUUACUGGGCGUAAAGCGCACGCAGGCGGUCUGUCAAGUCGGAUGUGAAAUCCCCGGGCUCAACCUGGGAACUGCAUUCGAAACUGGCAGGCUAGAGUCUUGUAGAGGGGGGUAGAAUUCCAGGUGCAGCGGUGAAAUGCGUAGAGAUCUGGAGGAAUACCGGUGGCGAAGGCGGCCCCCUGGACAAAGACUGACGCUCAGGUGCGAAAGCGUGGGGAGCAAACAGGAUUAGAUACCCGUGUAGUC
rnacentral:rRNA from 1 species